rnacentral:rRNA from 1 species
UAGGGAAUCUUCGGCAAUGGGGGGAACCCUGACCGAGCAACGCCGCGUGAGUGAAGAAGGUUUUCGGAUCGUAAAGCUCUGUUGUUAAGGAAGAACGAGUGUGAGAAUGGAAAGUUCAUGCUGUGACGGUACUUAACCAGAAAGCCACGGCUAACUACGUGCCAGCAGCCGCGGUAAUACGUAGGUGGCAAGCGUUGUCCGGAUUUAUUGGGCGUAAAGCGAGCGCAGGCGGUCAAUUAAGUCUGAUGUGAAAGCCCCCGGCUCAACCGGGGAGGGUCAUUGGAAACUGGUUGACUUGAGUGCAGAAGAGGAGAGUGGAAUUCCAUGUGUAGCGGUGAAAUGCGUAGAUAUAUGGAGGAACACCAGUGGCGAAGGCGACUCUCUGGUCUGUAACUGACGCUGAGGUUCGAAAGCGUGGGUAGCAAACAGG